AUCCAAAUUUCGUGAACUAUUAAUUAUUAUUAAUUUAUUAUAUUUAUAAUAACUUGAGUCUUGAAACUUAAAAGUAGAAACUCAAUAGUCCAAAUGAAUUCACACAAGUCUUUCAUCAAACAAUUUUUAUUUAAAAAAUACCCCAAUAUGGCUGGUAAUUCAGUUAUAAAUACAAGGCGUUUUAUAAAAAUAAUAUACCUACAAGUAUUUAUUAAAAAGAAAAAUAAGACUGUUACAGAUAUAUAAAUAUAUCACAUACAAAGAAUGAUGAUAGCGAUGUUAGUGUAUUAUUAAAGGGAAUCUUCAAUACUCUAAUUGUAACUGUUCAAUACUUUUAUCUAUUUUCUUAUUUUUAACCCAUCGGCAUAGAAAAUCUCAAUAAUGAAUAUUCCAUCGAUGAAGAGCCUAAUUUGGAUGAUGAAGAAGAAGGUACCUAGUGUUAGUUCAGACGAAGAUGACCCUGGAGUAGUGGUUAUUUCCAGUGGAAGUAGUGGAAGUGAUAGUAGCACUUAGGCCUGGAUAUUGAUGAUCUCUGUUCUAACUUUUGGUCAAUAUGUCAACAGCAAACAUAUAUGUCAACAGUAAAAUGUUUAGCAGUUAUAUUUUGAAUUUUUUUCAAAUACAUCGGUUAUAAUUUUUAGUAGAAUACUUGGAUCGACUGAAAAUGAAACGUAUUGCUGCAUCAAAUUUCCGGGAUAUUAACCGUUUUUCGGAAGUCAAAAGUUGCUUCCGGCAACCAUAAUAUCACAUUGUCGAUCAUUGCAAUCAUUUUAACAAUGGAAAAAAAGGAAUUGAAGUUCUUUGCUUUUUUAAUUACCUAAAAAUACUAAGCACUCUAAUACUAAGUUUGUUUUUCUUCAUAAUAAUUAAUAAUAAAUAUAUUUUUACAUGAUUUCUA